UACAGAGGGUGCAAGCGUUAAUCGGAAUUACUGGGCGUAAAGCGUGCGUAGACGGUUAUUUAAGUCAGGUGUGAAAGCCCCGGGCUCAACCUGGGAAUUGCAUUUGAGACUGAAUAGCUAGGGUGCGGAAGAGGGAAGCGGAAUUUCCGGUGUAGCGGUGAAAUGCGUAGAUAUCUGGAGGAACACCGGUGGCGAAGGCGGCAUCCUGGACCGACACUGACGCUGAGGAGCGAAAGCCAGGUGAGCAAACGGG
rnacentral:rRNA from 1 species